UACGGAGGGGACUAGCGUUGUCCGGAAUUAUUGGGCGUAAAGAGCUCGUAGGCGGCUUGUCACGUCGGAUGUGAAAGCCCGGGGCUUAACUCCGGGUCUGCAUUCGAUACUGGGCGGCUAGAGUCUGGUAGGGGGAUCUGGAAUUCCUGGUGUAGCGGUGGAAUGCGCAGAUAUCAGGAGGAACACCGGUGGCGAAGGCGGGAUCCUGGGCCAGUACUGACGCUGAGGAGCGAAAGCGUGGGGAGCAAACAGG
rnacentral:rRNA from 1 species